AAAAAUUUAGUUAAAAUAUAACAUUAACUUGUCAAGUUAAAAUAAUCUAUCGAUAAUUUUU
rnacentral:tRNA from 1 species